GAUGAACGCUGGCGGCGUGCUUAACACAUGCAAGUCGAACGGAAAGGCCCAAGCUUGCUUGGGUUCUCGAGUGGCGAACGGGUGAGUAACACGUGGGUGAUCUGCCCUGCACUUCGGGAUAAGCCUGGGAAACUGGGUCUAAUACCGGAUAGGACCACAUUUUGGAUGGUGUGGUGGAAAGUUUUUCGGUGUGGGAUGAGCUCGCGGCCUAUCAGCUUGUUGGUGGGGUAAUGGCCUACCAAGGCGUCGACGGGGAGCCGGCCUGAGAGGGUGUACGGCCACAUUGGGACUGAGAUACGGCCCAGACUCCUACGGGAGGCAGCAGUGGGGAAUAUUGGACAAUGGGCGCAAGCCUGAUGCAGCGACGCCGCGUGGGGGAUGACGGCCUUCGGGUUGUAAACUCCUUUCGCUAGGGACGAAGCGUUUUUGUGACGGUACCUGGAGAAGAAGCACCGGCUAACUACGUG
rnacentral:rRNA from 1 species